CAUAGCUCGCACACUCGCGCAGUGAAGCGGGAAGAGCUCAAAUUUGAAAUCUGGCGCUUUCAGUGUCCGAGUUGUAAUCUGAGAAGUAGUUUCCGCGCCGGACCCUUACAAGUUCCUUGGAUAGGCGUCUAGAGGGGAAACCCCCGUCUGAUGCGAUGUCCGGUGCUUUGUGAUUACCUUCCAAAAGUCGAGU
rnacentral:rRNA from 1 species